AAAGUUCAACAGACAAUCGCAGCUGACAGUUAGUCAGGUGAGGAAAGUCCGAGCUCCAUAGGGCAGGAUGCUGGAUAACGUCCAGUGGAGGUGACUCCAAGGCAAGUGCCACAGAAAGAAACCGCCGAUUUAUCGGUAAGGGUGCAAUGGUGCGGUAAGAGCGCACCAGCAAUGAGGUGACUCAUUGGCUAGGUAAACCCCAUCUGGAGCAAGACCAAAUAGGGAAGGUAUGAGGCGGCCCGCUGACCUUCCGGGUAGUGUCGCUUGAAGGGUAGAGCAAUCUAUCUUCUAGAUAAAUGAUUGUCGCUGUAUUUUACAGAACAAAACUCGGCUUACGAUGAACUUUUUCA
rnacentral:RNase_P_RNA from 1 species